GUAAACAUAGUUUUGUAAAAAUCCUAGACCGUGACCCUAGAGACGAGGGCUAACCACCCUCUGUUUACC
rnacentral:tRNA from 1 species